rnacentral:rRNA from 1 species
GAGAAACGGCUACCACAUCCAAGGAAGGCAGCAGGCGCGCAAAUUACCACUCCCGGAACGGGGAGGUAGUGACGAAAAAUAACAAUACGGGACUCUUUUGAGACCCGUAAUUGGAAUGAGUACACUCUAAAUCCUUUAACGAUUAUCAAUUGGAGGGCAAGCCAAGUGCCAGCAGCCGCGGUAACACUUGCUCCAAUAGCGUAUAUUAAAGUUGUUGCGGUUAAAAAGCUCGUAGUUGGAUCUCAGUUCUAGUCGGGCGGUCCGCCUAACGGCGGUAACUGCCCGUUCUGAACAGGCCAGCCGGUUUCCCUUGAUGAUCUUCACCGGUUGUCUCGGUUGACCGGCAAGUUUACUUUGAAUAAAUUAGAGUGCUCAAAGCAGGCGUGACGCCUGAACAAUGGUGCAUGGAAUAAUGGAAUAGGACCUCGGUUCUAUUUUGUUGGUUUUCGGAACACGAGGUAAUGAUUAAGAGGGACAGACGGGGGCAUUCGUAUUGCGACGCUAGAGGUGAAAUUCUUGGACCGUCGCAAGACGAACUACUGCGAAAGCAUUUGCCAAGAAUGUUUCCAUUAAUCAAGAACGAAAGUUAGAGGUUCGAAGGCGAUCAGAUACCGCCCUAGUUCUAACCAUAAACGAUGCCAGCCAGCGAUCCGGCUGUGUUCCUCAAAUGACACGCCGGGCAGCUUCCGGGAAACCAAAGCUUUUGGGUUCCGGGGGAAGUAUGGUUGCAAAGCUGAAACUUAAAAGAAUUGACGGAGGGUCACCACCAGAAAUGGAGCUUGCGGUUCAAUUUGACUCAACGCAGCGAACCCUACCAGGUCAGGACACAGGUAGGAUUGACAGAUUAAGAGCUCUUUCUUGAUUUUGUGGGUAGUGGUGCAUGUCCGCUC